GCCAGCAGCCAUCUCACCCUGCAGCUCCCAGCUGGCAGCCCCCUGAAGCUCAGCAGUGUGAGCCUGGCCAGUACCUGGAUGGGAGACUCCUGGGAAAAACUAAGGUUGCUGCUGGAA
rnacentral:rRNA from 1 species